rnacentral:rRNA from 1 species
CCUACGGGUGGCAGCAGUAGGGAAUAUUGCUCAAUGGGCGAAACCCUGAAGCAGCAACGCCGCGUGGAGGAUGAAGGUUUUCGGAUUGUAAACUCCUUUUCUUAUAGAAGAUAAUGACGGUAUCUAACGAAUAAGCACCGGCUAACUACGUGCCAGCAGCCGCGGUAAUACGGAGGGUGCAAGCGUUACUCGGAAUCACUGGGGGUAAAGAGCGCGUAGGCGGGAAAGCAAGUCAGAUGUGAAAUCCGAGGGCUUAACCACAGAAGUGCAUUUGAAACUGUAAUUCUAGAGUAUGGGAGAGGGAGGUGGAAUUCUUGGUGUAGGGGUGAAAUGCGUAGAGAUGAAGAGGAACACGCAUGGCGAAGGCGACAUGCUAGAACAUAACUGACGCUGAUGCGCGAAAGCGUGGGGAGCAAACAGGAUUAGAUACCCGGGUAGUC